GAAAAUAGGGCCUCGGAGCAAUUAAGUUCUGGAAGUUUUUCUGACGGCCUUCUGGGCAGAUGUGGCUGGGCCCUGGGGCGCCCGGCGGGCCCGCAACGCUGCAGCUGAGGGCGCUUAUGUUAUCAUCCCUGCGUCCCUCUGCAGAUGCUCUAGGGGGGUUGGGGGGGUGACACCCAGGCAGCCAGAUAAAUGAGAAGCGGGCUAGAAAGAGGAGACGAGCGAAAGCAAGUGGAGGGCGGAGAGAAGGAGCUUUGCAGGGAAGGUGAGGCAACUGCAGAGGAAGCUGGCGCUUGCUGCAAGGCCGGGAGCCCGCCCGGGGCCGGGAGCCGGUCCCCAGCGCUGCCACUUCAUAAUUGUCGCAGCAGCCCUAAUGGAGCUCUUAAAAGGUGCCAGGCCCUGGGCCAGGCAUCUUCUGUGAGCCACCUUAUCAAGAGCUCCCGAGUUCCCUGGGAAACAGGGACCACGGUUAUCACCACUUUGCAGACAAAGCAGCUACAUCUCAGAGAGGCAGAGCUGCUUGCCCAAAGACACACAGCGAGUGGAAAAAAAGAAAACAGAAACAUCACAGCAAACCAUUACGGAGCACUUCCUCUGUGUCUGUCCCGAGUCCUCGGGACACCAAGGCAUUUACUCAACCUUGAAAGAAGUGCCUUACUCCGAUCCCUGGAAGAGUUAGUGUGUGCAAAGAGUAGGCCACAAAAUAGUCAGCUGCUACUGUGAUUCCCACGUGCAGAUGGGGAAACCGAGGCACAGAACACCUGACCAGCUUUCCCAAAGUCAUGCAGCACACAAAGGGCAUUGCACGCAGCAGCUUGGAGCGCAGAGCGAGGGGAGCUCACAGUCUGGCCCUGACCAGCUCUGUGACUCGCCUUCCUGAGGUCAGGUGAGCAAAGUCGAGGCAGGAGGGAGUGGCUGACGCUCUCCCCGGGGCUCCAGCAGGUGGGCCGCAUUACACCUGCCCAGGGGCUUCCCCUGUCUGUGCUGCGAUGGGCAGUACACUUAGAUAGUGUGUCCGAUGAUGAAGAAAGCCAAGGGUGGGGGGCCCCCAGCGUGUGGAUGAUGUCGGGGGCCCAGGCCCUGGAGGAGGGGAGUUAUUCACUCCAGAUUCGUGGGUGUCUGCUUUAGGACUCUACCCCCUCACCUCCACCCUGACAGAUGCCAGAGUUCUGGUGGGUCUACCUUGGGGGCACAUCCUGACCACGUCACCCCCUCCUCUGCCACCACCCGGCCAGGCCACCUUCUGCUCUUAACUCCCGACGCUUCCUGCUUCCGGCAGCAUGCUCGGAUCUCAUCUCUGAUGACCCACCUCCCAUAGGACAAAGAUAAAAGCCAUCCCCUCACCUUAAAAGGUCUGGCCCUCGUCCACCUCAUUGACUCAGGGUGUUGACCUAAACUGGGAAAGCCAACAGCCGGGGUUAUGACCCCACCUUCUGCACAUCGCAGCUGUGUAACCUCAAUGAAUUACUUAACCUCUCUGUGCCUCUUGGCUACCCAUCUGUAAAAUGGGGGGAUAAUACCCCCUCAUAUCCUAAGCCCCAACUUCUGGGGGAAACGCACCCCCUCUUUGCAGCCCACCACCCCGUGGGAGGAGGGGCGGUGGGCAGGCAGGCAUGC
rnacentral:lncRNA from 1 species